AGAGUUUGAUCAUGGCUCAGAUUGAACGUUGGCGGCAGGCCUGAUACAUGCAAGUCGAACGGUAACAGCGGAGCUUGCUCCGGCUGACGAGUGGCGGACGGGUGAGUAACGCGUAGGAAUCUGCCCAGUAGUGGGGGAUAGCCCGGGGAAACCCGGAUUAAUACCGCAUACGCCCUACGGGGGAAAGGCCGGGAUCUUCGGACCGGUCACUAUUGGAGGAGCCUGCGUUGGAUUAGCUAGUUGGUAGGGUAAAGGCCUACCAAGGCUACGAUCCAUAGCUGGUCUGAGAGGACGAUCAGCCACACUGGAACUGAGACACGGUCCAGACUCCUACGGGAGGCAGCAGUACGGAAUAUUGUCCAAUGGGCGCAAGCCUGAGACAGCCAUGCCGCGUGUGUGAAGAAGGCCCUAGGGUUGUAAAGCACUUUCAGCAGGGAGGAAAAUGGCCGGAUUAAUACCCCGGUUUUAUGACGUUACCUGCAGAAGAAGAUCCGGCUAACUCCGUGCCAGCAGCCGCGGUAAUACGGAGGGAUCGAACGUUAAUCGGAAUUACUGGGCGUAAAGCGCACGCAGGUGGUUUGUUAAGUGGGAUGUGAAAGCCCCGGGCUUAACCUGGGAACUGCAUUCCGAACUGACGAACUAGAGUACGAUAGAGGGGGGUAGAAUUCAGAGUGUAGCGGUGAAAUGCGUAGAUAUUCUGAGGAAUACCGGUGGCGAAGGCGGCCCCCUGGAUUGAUACUGACACUCAUGUGCGAAAGCGUGGGGAGCAAACAGGAUUAGAUACCCUGGUAGUCCACGCCGUAAACGAUGCUGAUUCCUCUUUGGAUGACAAAAAAAAUCUCUUCACUGAAAAGUGAAGAAUCAAUGAGAUAGUUCAGAUUGGUAGAACGUCGGAAUCAUACCCCGAUGGUCGGGGGUUCAAUCCCCCCUCUCAUUAAAUAGUUUUAAGUGGAUGCUUAGGUUCAACACACAAUAUGGACGUGUAUACAUACGAAAAGUCGCUUGAAGAGAAAACUCAAAGAUAAGUGAAUUUCCAUUGUGGGAAACCACGUAAAA
rnacentral:rRNA from 1 species